rnacentral:rRNA from 1 species
AUUGAACGCUGGCGGCAGGCCUAACACAUGCAAGUCGAGCGGCGCGGCGGCCGGGUGAGGAAUGCCUAGGAAUCUGGCUGAGAGUGGGGGAUAAGGUCCGGAAACGGACGCUAAUACCACAUCCUAUCAGAUGAGCCUAGGUCGGAUUAGCUAGUUGGGGGGGUAAGGGCCUACCAAGGCGACGAUCCGUAACGGGUCUGAGAGGAUGAUCAGUCACACUGGAACUGAGACACGGCCCAGACUCCUACGGGAGGCAGCAGUGGGGAAUAUUGGACAAGGGGCGAAAGCCUGAUGCAGCCAUGCCGCGUGUGUGAAGAAGGUCUUCGGAUUGUAAAGCACUUUCAGUUGGGAGGCGUUACCAACAGAAGAAGCACCGGCUAACUUCGUGCCAGCAGCCGCGGUAAUUC